GACGAACGCUGGCGGCGUGCUUAACACAUGCAAGUCGAGCGGUAAGGCCCUUUCGGGGGUACACGAGCGGCGAACGGGUGAGUAACACGUGGGUGACCUGCCCUCAGCUCUGGGAUAAGCCCGGGAAACUGGGUCUAAUACUGGAUAUGACUCCAUGACGCAUGUUGUGGGGUGGAAAGCCUUGUGCGGCUGAGGAUGGGCCCGCGGCCUAUCAGCUUGUUGGUGGGGGAUGGCCUACCAAGGCGACGACGGGUAGCCGGCCUGAGAGGGCGACCGGCCACACUGGGACUGAGACACGGCCCAGACUCCUACGGGAGGCAGCAGUGGGGAAUAUUGGACAAUGGGCGAAAGCCUGAUCCAGCAAUGCCGCGUGUGUGAAGAAGGCCUGCGGGUUGUAAAGC
rnacentral:rRNA from 1 species